rnacentral:pre_miRNA from 1 species
AAACUACUCCCUCCGUUCGGAAUUACUUGUCGCAUAAAUGGAUGUAUCUAGACGUAUUUUAGUUCUAGAUACAUCCAUUUCUGAGACAAGUAAUUCCGAACAGAGGGAGUAGUAG